rnacentral:rRNA from 1 species
CCGCUUGCAAGCAAACAGAUGGACCCACGAAGUCCUGUUGAGUAAGAGAUUCAUAUACUCUAAGAGGCGAUGCUGUGUCGUUAUGAUGCUUCUUUAUUGAGGUUAGCGUUCACUGGUAUGCUGUUGAUUAGAGUGUGCAUUUCUUUUGCUCACGAUGGAGCUCUGACUGCUCAACUGAUACCUUACUGCUUUACGGCAGCCGUUAUUUGUGAGGUGUACUUUAAUUUAAGUACUCAUUUACUUGUGAUGGUGAAGUAAGUGAGGUGAUGUUGAGUAGGUGAAUAUCUAACAUUUAUGUUAGUAUCAGAUUAUCGAUGUCCUUCGUCGAUUGCCAAGAGUUUGGUGAGGAGAUAAUUUCGGCUCUUGUAGUUGAAAACCUCUUUACUAUAGGCUCUUAAGUGCAGUUGAAUGAGCAUCAAUGAUGAUCCAGAGUAAGUAGGUCGGUCAUCCAUCUGACCCGUCUUGAAACACGGACCAAGGAGCCCAACAAAUGCGCGAGUCGCUCAGUCUUGCAUAGGCUUGAGAGGCGAAAUAAACAUAACAGCAUGAUCUGGUUCCUUUCCCUUCAAACGGAAACACCAGCGCAAUGCUGACCUACUAUAGUUGCCUUCUGACAACUCGGUGGAGUCUGAGCGUAUUUGUUGGUACCCGAAAGAUGGUGAACUAUACUUGGGCAAGAUGAAGCCAGAGGAAACUCUGGUGGAGGUCUGUAGCGAUUCUGACGUGCAAAUCGAUCGUCAGACCUGAGUAUAGGGGCGAAAGACUAAUCGAACCAUCUAGUAGCUGGUUCCUUCCGAAGUUUCCCUCAGGAUAGCUGGCACAUACAAAGACUCUGUAGCACCCGGUAAAGAGAAUGAUUAGAGGUAUUGGGAUCGAAACGAUCUCAACCUAUUCUCAAACUUUGAAUGGGUGCGGAGCUUGACUUAUUUGAAGUGAAAUAAAGUCUUGCUUUUGUAAGAGUUGUGCCAAGUGGGCCAUUUUUGGUAAGCAGAACUGGCGCUGUGGGAUGAACCAAACACUAAGUUAAGGUACCAAAUGCGUACGCUCAUGAGACCCCAUGAAAGGUGUUGGUUGCUUAUGACAGC